rnacentral:rRNA from 1 species
UCCUGGGUCCCNUUGAGGAAGUAAAAGUCGUAACAAGGUCUCCGUUGGUGAACCAGCGGAGGGAUCAUUA